UCGUUUCUAAGCGUCGACCUUUGUGCUGUGAGUUGCGUUGCUUCGCCGAGUGGGUCUAGUCCUAUGGUUCCAUCAUAUGGGUCUGGCUCUACCAUGAACGUCAUCGACUCAUCGUCUUCUGCUCGGAGCUAGGUAGAGAGGUGUUGAAGGAGCACGACUUGCAAUUGGCUGACCGGCACAAGAGCCAAUUGGAAACCAAGUUAGCUAAGACGGCAAGGAUCUCAUCUGGGGCGAUUAUGGGCCUCACUACGUGUAGAUGAGGAAGGUCUGCACACUCUAGCUUUUCUCUCCCAAGCGCCUUGAAGCCUUAAGACCCCUUCGAGAAGACGAGGCACCGCCAUGGUUGAGUCCAUCUUCAAGAGAAAGCACUAGAACCGAUGUUGUAAUUGGGCUCGAAUUUGUCCCUUCAUAUGCAAAAGUUUCUUUAUUUCAACAACCAAUUGAGGAAUAUAGUGAAACGAUGCUGUUAUGAAUUUUAGCAAAUGGCAGAACAUAUUAAAAAAUGGGAGAAGAUUUGGGGACAUGAUUGCGUUGAAGCUCAACAAUAUUGUGCCUCAUUUCUCAGUGAGUUGGUUGUCCUUGUGGGCCGUAAGAAUUUGCUUUAAUUCUUACAGGACAAAGUGUAGAUCCCCCCUCUCUUUGUGUUAAUGUACAAUUUGAUUUUUCUACGUUACUUCACCCGUGUCUGUCAUCCUGAAAGUGGGAAGAAGUGUACACUCCAACAAGCGAAAUAGAAAUAGGUAGAAAGGAAGAAUCGAGUAUAUGCUGUUUAUGUUCAACUCAAAUCAAUUGUUAAAUAAAAUUAUCCUUUCUGCCACUUAAAAUUUUCUUUUUGGUCUAACAUGGUGCAUUUGCUUAUUUUUGAUAUUGCUAAAGUUGGGGUAUCACAGUACUUUGCCGAAACUUCUUUCUUAAGAGCUUUAAAAUGUAUUUGGAAGAUUAACUAUGAUGUUUGCCUACUAUGGGCAUCAAGGCCGGUGAUUUGCAGGAUUAGCAUCAUCAAUUGAUAUUAUUGGUCAGUUUUGAGGUUCUUUUUUCAUGGCAGAUGCAUAAUUCUUUCAACUUCUGGCAAUGACAUCUUUUGGCUUUUUGCAUAUAGUUUAUGAUGCAUCAAUAGGAUCCUCCAGCUAAUGCAAGAAAUUGAAGAAUGGUACUUCUAUUGAUGAUAACUUUCCAUUUGAAUUGAUUUCCGUUUUGAUUCUUAAUCCAAUGAUACUUCCAUUUAAAUUGUUUUUAGUUGUAGUUUUAAAAACUAUCAAAUCCAAAUCAUCAAAUUCAAUCCAUCGGUUCACAAUUAUAGUGGCCUCCCGACCCACUAGGUAGAGAGAAGCCACCUCCCCCGAACCACAAGUAUUAAUUGGCUUUGGCUUCUCUUUUGAUCUUUUGAUUUUAUUAUCUCUUAUGCUUUCGUAAGGAAUAGAACCAUUUGAUCAUGAGAUAUCCUGAACAUUUUGGUAGUCUAGAGACGGCAAGGAUCUCAUUUGGGCUAUUGAUCAUGGUUGAGUCCAUCUUCAACGAUUCCAUAAAUCCUGGUACGCUAUUUGUCCUUGUUACUUCUUGUAGGUCUAUAUAAUUUUGAUAAU